AGCGAACGCUGGCGGCAGGCCUAACACAUGCAAGUCGAACGAAGUCUUCGGACUUAGUGGCGGACGGGUGAGUAACACGUGGGAACGUGCCUUUAGGUUCGAAAUAACUCAGGGAAACUUGUGCUAAUACCGAAUGUGCCCUUCGGGGGAAAGGUUUAUCGCCUUUAGAGCGGCCCGCGUCUGAUUAGCUAGUUGGUGAGGUAAAGGCUCACCAAGGCGACGAUCAGUAGCUGGUCUGAGAGGAUGAUCAGCCACAUUGGGACUGAGACACGGCCCAAACUCCUACGGGAGGCAGCAGUGGGGAAUCUUGCGCAAUGGGCGAAAGCCUGACGCAGCCAUGCCGCGUGAAUGAUGAAGGUCUUAGGAUUGUAAAAUUCUUUCACCGGGGACGAUAAUGACGGUACCCGGAGAAGAAGCCCCGGCUAACUUCGUGCCAGCCGCCGCGGUAAAAC
rnacentral:rRNA from 1 species